CCGCAGCCUGUUCGAAUCCCAGAGCGACCUGAUCGUUCUGCGCGACAGCGACGGCCUGAUCACGUCGGUCAAUGACGCCUACUGCGCGCUNNNCGCGCGAAGCCCUGAUCGGGACUCGCUUUGCAUUGCCCGUGCUGGAACAGGGCGCUAUCGCAAUCGAGCCGAGUGGCACACGCGUUCACGACCAGAAGAUCGACAGCNNNCAUGGCGCGAGGGCCUUGUGCGCAGCGAUGCCUAUCAGCCCGCCGACCUGCAAUGCGUCGG
rnacentral:misc_RNA from 1 species